rnacentral:rRNA from 1 species
AGUGAACGCUGGCGGUAGGCCUAACACAUGCAAGUCGAACGGCAGCACAGUAAGAGCUUGCUCUUACGGGUGGCGAGUGGCGGACGGGUGAGGAAUACAUCGGAAUCUACUUUUUCGGGGGGGAUAACGUAGGGAAACUUACGCUAAUACCGCAUACGACCUACGGGUGAAAGCAGCGGAUCUUCGGACCUUGCGCGAUUGAAUGAGCCGAUGCCGGAUUAGCUAGUUGGCGGGGUAAAGGCCCACCAAGGCGACGAUCCGUAGCUGGUCUGAGAGGAUGAUCAGCCACACUGGAACUGAGACACGGUCCAGACUCCUACGGGAGGCAGCAGUGGGGAAUAUUGGACAAUGGGCGCAAGCCUGAUCCAGCCAUACCGCGUGGGUGAAGAAGGCCUUCGGGUUGUAAAGCCCUUUUGUUGGGAAAGAAAAGCAGCAGGUUAAUCCCCCGCUGUUCUGACGGUACCCAAAGAAUAAGCACCGGCUAACUUCGUG